rnacentral:rRNA from 1 species
UACGAAGGGGGCUAGCGUUGCUCGGAAUCACUGGGCGUAAAGCGCACGUAGGCGGACUCUUAAGUCAGGGGUGAAAUCCUGGAGCUCAACUCCAGAACUGCCUUUGAUACUGGGAGUCUUGAGUUCGGGAGAGGUGAGUGGAACUGCGAGUGUAGAGGUGAAAUUCGUAGAUAUUCGCAAGAACACCAGUGGCGAAGGCGGCUCCCUGGCCCGAUACUGACGCUGAGGCACGAAAGCGUGGGGAGCAAACAGG